rnacentral:rRNA from 1 species
GACGUAGGGCGCGAGCGUUGUCCGGAUUUAUUGGGCGUAAAGAGCUCGUAGGCGGCUUGUCGCGUCGACUGUGAAAUCCCGCGGCUCAACUACGGGUCUGCAGUCGAUACGGGCAGGCUAGAGUUCGGUAGGGGAGACUGGAAUUCCUGGUGUAGCGGUGAAAUGCGCAGAUAUCAGGAGGAACACCGGUGGCGAAGGCGGGUCUCUGGGCCGAUACUGACGCUGAGGUGCGAAAGCGUGGGGAGCAAACAGG